rnacentral:rRNA from 1 species
AGAGUUUGAUCAUGGCUCAGGACGAACGCUGGCGGCGCGCCUAACACAUGCAAGUCGAGCGAUGAAGACAUAACCGACGCCUUCGGGAAGAAGUUGAGUUGGAUUAGCGGCGGACGGGUGAGUAACACGUGAGUAACCUGCCUUUGACACGGGGAUAGCCACCGGAAACGGUGAUUAAUACCCGAUGAAAUCGUAGUGACACAUGUCAUAACGAUCAAAGUGAAUUAGCGGUCAAAGAUGGACUCGCGUCUGAUUAAUUAGUUGGUGAGGUAACGGCUCACCAAGAUAGCGAUCAGUAGCCGGCCUGAGAGGGUGAACGGCCACAUUGGAACUGAGAAACGGUCCAAACUCCUACGGGAGGCAGCAGUGGGGAAUAUUGCACAAUGGGGGAAACCCUGAUGCAGCGACGCCGCGUGAGCGAAGAAGGAUUUCGAUUCGUAAAGCUCUGUCCUAUGGGAAGAUAAUGACGGUACCAUAGGAGGAAGCCCCGGCUAACUACGUGCCAGCAGCCGCGGUAAUACGUAGGGGGCGAGCGUUGUCCGGAAUCACUGGGCGUAAAGGGUUCGCAGGCGGUUUAGAAAGUCAGAUGUGAAAGGCGAGGGCUCAACCCUCGUAAGCAUUUGAAACUUCUAAACUUGAGUAGUGAAGAGGUAAGUGGAAUUCCUAGUGUAGCGGUGAAAUGCGUAGAUAUUAGGAGGAAUACCGGUGGCGAAGGCGACUUACUGGUCACAAACUGACGCUGAGGAACGAAAGCGUGGGUAGCAAACAGGAUUAGAUACCCUGGUAGUCC